rnacentral:rRNA from 1 species
CGCGCCGGUCCUAGUGGCGUACGGGUGAGUAACACGUGGGUAACCUGCCCUGGAGACUGGGAUACCCUCCCGAAAGGGAGGCUAAUACCGGAUACGUUCCCUGGAUCGCGAGGUCCGGGGAGGAAAGGUGGCGUAAGCUGCCGCUCUUGGAGGGGCUCGCGACCUAUCAGCUAGUUGGUGAGGUGACGGCUCACCAAGGCGAUGACGGGUAGCUGGUCUGAGAGGACGACCAGCCACACGGGGACUGAGACACGGCCCCGACUCCUACGGGAGGCAGCAGUGGGGAAUUUUCCGCAAUGGGCGAAAGCCUGACGGAGUGACGCCGCGUGGGGGACGAAGGCCUUCGGGUUGUAAACCCCUGUCAGAGGGAAAGAAGGGUUCCGGUGCGAUAACCGCCGGCACUUGACGGUACCUUCAGAGGAAGCACCGGCCAACUACGUGCCAGCAGCCGCGGUAAUACGUAGGGUGCAAGCGUUGUCCGGAAUUAUUGGGCGUAAAGAGCUCGUAGGCGGUCUGUCGCGUCGGCUGUGAAAACUCGGGGCUCAACUCCGAGCUUGCAGUCGAUACGGGCAGGCUAGAGUUCGGCAGGGGAGACUGGAAUUCCUGGUGUAGCGGUGAAAUGCGCAGAUAUCAGGAGGAACACCGGUGGCGAAGGCGGGUCUCUGGGCCGAUACUGACGCUGAGGAGCGAAAGCGUGGGGAGCGAACAGGAUUAGAUACCCUGGUAGUCCACGCCGUAAACGUUGGGCGCUAGGUGUGGGAUCCCUUCCACGGGUUCCGUGCCGCAGCUAACGCAUUAAGCGCCCCGCCUGGGGAGUACGGCCGCAAGGCUAAAACUCAAAGGAGUUGACGGGGGCCCGCACAAGCGGCGGAGCAUAUGGAUUAAUUCGAUGCAACGCGAAGAACCUUACCUGGGUUUGACAUACACCGGAAAGCCGUGGAGACAUGGCCUCCGCAAGGCCGGUGUACAGGUGGUGCAUGGCUGUCGUCAGCUCGUGUCGUGAGAUGUUGGGUUAAGUCCCGCAACGAGCGCAACCCUCGUCCCAUGUUGCCAGCGGGUUAUGCCGGGGACUCAUGGGAGACUGCCGGGGUCAACUCGGAGGAAGGUGGGGACGACGUCAAGUCAUCAUGCCCCUUAUGUCCAGGGCUUCACACAUGCUACAAUGGCCGGUACAAAGGGCUGCUAAGCCGUAAGGUGGAGCGAAUCCCACAAAGCCGGUCUCAGUUCGGAUCGGGGUCUGCAACUCGACCCCGUGAAGUCGGAGUCGCUAGUAAUCGCAGAUCAGCAACGCUGCGGUGAAUACGUUCCCGGGCCUUGUACACACCGCCCGUCAC